CUGUAACAAAGGCAUACUGUGGAAGGCUAGCCAUUCCUUUAUUGUAGCAGAGUGAGUGAAGUCAUGUUUUUUGCUGUAUUGGCUCAAGUUUAUUAGAUGUUAUAGGGACUACCUUUGGGUUUCCAAAGCCUCUGCAACAUCGAUUGCUACUGAAGAAUUUGAGAACAAGAUGUUGAUGGUGUCAUCAAUUAUUGUCUGCCUUGUUUCACUCGCUGCCCACUCGUUGGCCUCUUUUGAAACAUCAAGGUGAAUGAAUGCAAUUCCUGAUCUGCAGCAAGAUAAGCACUGCAAGCAAUAUUAAAGCAAUUCGAUGUACCCACCAUGAAUAAGCUAAUUUCCUGCUGUCUACGAUAAAACAUUAAAGCAAGCAUUGCAGACGGCGACACUGGAUUUCUGGGAACCUGAUACAUGCGGCACACCUCUGAGCAAAGCAAGCAGAAGUAUAUGGCAUGGUUGUCAGUGUCGUAUCUAUUAGGGUCUUCAAAAUGGGGAAGGAUGGGGGGAUUGUGAAGUGGGAGGCGCUAGCUCACAAAAUAGGGUGAUAUGAGUUGAUUUUUUAUCUACUGGAGUGCGAUUUUUUUGCUUCAAACUUUUUCAAUUUUAGGAGGGGAAUACACCCCACCUGUGCCCUCCCCUGACACUUAACAGAUGGUCGUGAGUCGGAUCAGAGAAAGGGAAAGUUUUUGAGACAAUUACACAUUGGUCAUUUUGUAUUCGUUAGAAUAAAAACACACAAACAGAAUAAGGUACAGUAAUUUCUAUAUUCCAAUGGCAGAUACCUAUAGUAUGUUGUAGCAAC